rnacentral:rRNA from 1 species
AACGAACGCUGGCGGCAGGCCUAACACAUGCAAGUCGAACGCAUCGCAAGAUGAGUGGCGCACGGGUGAGUAACACGUGGGAAUGUAUCCUUUGGUUCGGAAUAACGUCUGGAAACGGACGCUAAUACCGGAUGAGCCCUUAGGGGGAAAGAUUUAUCGCCGAAGGAGCAGCCCGCGUCUGAUUAGGUAGUUGGUGGGGUAAAGGCCUACCAAGCCGACGAUCAGUAGCUGGUCUGAGAGGAUGAUCAGCCACACUGGGACUGAGACACGGCCCAGACUCCUACGGGAGGCAGCAGUGGGGAAUAUUGGACAAUGGGCGCAAGCCUGAUCCAGCCAUGCCGCGUGAGUGAUGAAGGCCUUCGGGUUGUAAAGCUCUUUCGCACACGACGAUGAUGACGGUAGUGUGAGAAGAAGCCCCGGCUAACUUCGUGCCAGCAGCCGCCGCCG